AAAACCUUCAAAAGUGUUCCUGGUCAGUGAGGCUGUGAAGCUUGUAUCAGAUUGUGAGCUUCAAGCACCAAGAGUGUCUGACUGGUCUGAUCAGAGACAGAGCCACAGGUUACAUCCUGGGAAUUUGGCAGUCAUUUACAAAGGGGACGGUGAUAAACCGAACAGGACUUCUUGUUCCUAACAAAGGGGAAACCAUAAACCAAGAUGCUGUAAAAAUUUGUACCUUUUGCAACUCUUAUGCAUUAGAACUACAAUAUUAACACUUCAAAAUGAUUUCUAGCACAGUUUCCAGAUUUAUUAUAAAAUAUAAAUGAUAUGUUUUGAGGAUUAGUCUUUAUGUAUUCAUACACAUGCAAUUCAUUUAUACUUAUAUCUCUCUUUAAUUUUAUUAAGAAAGUGGGAAAGUUUUGCAAAUAGAGAUUUGGACAAUUCGGAAGAGCAGAC